GAGGACCCACAGAGCUCAUUCUUCAGUCUUUUGAACACACAUUGCCUGCUUAUGUCUCACAUGCUGAAGGGAGAAACAGUGAAAGAAUCUGACGAGAAGAAAGCUAGCAUGAAGACAUAUGAGCCAGCAAGGCACGGAGUAAACUUUUAAUUUGCAUUGGCAUACUGCCAUGGUGAAUGUUUACAAAAUGCCCUCUAUGCCUACACACACACACACACACACGCACAUACACACACAGAACUUCACACAAUCUUCAUUCACAACACCAAACGACAACACAAACACAGACUGGAAAACACAUAGGAAUUACUGAUAACAAUAGUUUACGUUGGAGGAUCCUAUAAUUAUCAUUUAAACAAGCAGUUUGUGUUAUGGUUAUCUCAGAGGUAAAAGGGAGGUCGUAAUCAAAGAUUAAGGACGGACUAGAGAAAUUAUUAUAAAGCUAUAGAAUUUAACAAUUAUCAAACUAAAGGCAAGUCAUCAUCUGAGAUAAUACGUCUUCAGUGAAUGGGCAAGCUGCCGGGCUGCCCACAGGGAACACACACACACACACACACACACACACACACACACA